rnacentral:rRNA from 1 species
ACGGGCGGCGGUUGACUACGUCUACCUCACACCUUAAAGUAUGUUAACGAAUGUAAUCAUGGUCUUGACAGACCCUAAAAAGUUAAUACAACUUUCGACAACGGAUCUCUUGGCUCUCGCAUCGAUGAAGAACGCAGCGAAAUGCGAUAAGUAAUGUGAAUUGCAGAAUUCAGUGAAUCAUCGAAUCUUUGAACGCACCUUGCGCCCUUUGGUAUUCCGAGGGGCAUGCCUGUUUGAGUGUCAUUAAAUACCAUCAACCCUCUUUUGACUUCGGUCUCGAGAGUGGCUUGGAAGUGGAGGUCUGCUGGAGCCUAACGGAGCCAGCUCCUCUUAAAUGUAUUAGCGGAUUUCCCUUGCGGGAUCGCGUCUCCGAUGUGAUAAUUUCUACGUCGUUGACCAUCUCGGGGCUGACCUAGUCAGUUUCAAUAGGAGUCUGCUUCUAACCGUCUCUUGACCGAGACUAGCGACUUGUGCGCUAACUUUUGACUUGACCUCAAAUCAGGUAGGACUACCCGCUGAACUUAAGCAUAUCAAUAAGCGGAGGAA